AUUGAACGCUGGCGGCAUGCCUUACACAUGCAAGUCGAACGGCAGCACGGACUUCGGUCUGGUGGCGAGUGGCGAACGGGUGAGUAAUAUAUCGGAACAUACCCUAGAGUGGGGGGAUAACGUAGCGAAAGUUACGCUAAUACCGCAUACGAACUAAGGUUGAAAAGCGGGGGGAUCUUCGGACCUCGUGCUCAUGGAGUGGCCGAUAUCUGAUUAGCUAGUUGGUGAGGUAAAGGCUCACCAAGGCGACGAUCAGUAGCUGGUCUGAGAGGACGACCAGCCACACUGGAACUGAGACACGGUCCAGACUCCUACGGGAGGCAGCAGUGGGGAAUUUUGGACAAUGGGGGCAACCCUGAUCCAGCCAUUCCGCGUGAGUGAAGAAGGGCCUUCGGGUUGUUAAACGCUGUCAGAGGGAUGAAGUAUAC
rnacentral:rRNA from 1 species